rnacentral:rRNA from 1 species
GAUGAACGCUGGCGGCGUGCCUAAUACAUGCAAGUCGAGCGAACAGACGAGGAGCUUGCUCCUCUGACGUUAGCGGCGGACGGGUGAGUAACACGUGGAUAACCUACCUAUAAGACUGGGAUAACUUCGGGAAACCGGAGCUAAUACCGGAUAAUAUAUUGAACCGCAUGGUUUAAUAGUGAAAGACGGUUUUGCUGUCACUUAUAGAUGGAUCCGCGCCGCAUUAGCUAGUUGGUAAGGUAACGGCUUACCAAGGCAACGAUGCGUAGCCGACCUGAGAGGGUGAUCGGCCACACUGGAACUGAGACACGGUCCAGACUCCGACGGGAGGCAGCAGUAGGGAAUCUUCCGCAAUGGGCGAAAGCUUGACGGGGCAACGCCGCGUGAGUGAUGAAGGUCUUCGGAUCGUAAAACUCUGUUAUUAGGGAAGAACAAAUGUGUAAGUAACUAUGCACGUCUUGACGGUACCUAAUCAGAAAGCCACGGCUAACUACGUG